AGUACAAACACACCAGCUGCUGCAGCUUCUUCUUCUUCUUCUGUUUGAAUUGAGGUGGUUGAUCUACAACGUUCAGAUUUAUUAGCGCCCCUACUGGACUGCAGUGGCAGAUCAUAACAGAAAGGAGAAACAGGAUCAACCCCUCAAAGAUGAAGUCCUUGUUUUUUCUGAAUGACAAUCUUCACUAAAUACUUACAAAUACUGUCACCUGGAUGCUGCUUUUUUAUUUUGCACAUUUUCAUUUAUAUUUUGUUGAGUGAUGCUUUGUUGAUGUUAUAUAUAAUAAACACAAUCAGACCU